rnacentral:rRNA from 1 species
CUUGGUCAUUUAGAGGAAGUAAAAGUCGUAACAAGGUUUCCGUAGGUGAACCUGCGGAAGGAUCAUUAAAAGCAAAACAGAAGUUAGCGUGGGCUGACAGCGCUGGCGAGUCGGGGGAGCUUUUCGGAGCGACCCAGGCCGUCCGCGCGGUCUCUCGCCCUCAUCCUUGAGCGGAACUCCCGCUCGGUAGAGGGGUCCGCCAACUCUUAACCCUUGAAAUCCGACCUCAAGUUGCCUCGGCGGGCUCGCCCGCCGGAGGACGCAACCGAAACUCCUGUCUCAAACCGUGCAGUCUGAGCUUGAUAGCAACGAAUCAAAACUUUCAACAACGGAUCUCUUGGUUCUGGCAUCGAUGAAGAACGCAGCGAAAUGCGAUACGUAGUGUGAAUUGCAGAAUUCAGUGAAUCAUCGAAUCUUUGAACGCACAUUGCGCCCUUUGGUAUUCCGGGGGGCAUGCCUGUUCGAGCGUCAUUACAACCCUCAAGCAUUGCUUGGUAUUGAGGCCCUGCUAUUCCAAGCAGCCUCUAAAGCUAGUGGCGGUGCUGUUAGGCUCUAAGCGUAGUAAUACCUCUCGCUAUAGACGUCCUGCCGGUGCCUAGCCAUCAACCUCUUACCUUCUAUGGUUGACCUCGGAUCAGGUAGGAAUACCCGCUGAACUUAAGCAUAUCAAUAAGCGGAGGA